rnacentral:rRNA from 1 species
GAGCUGUAAGUAAGCUUUGAUCCAGAGAUUUCCGAAUGGGGAAACCCAGCAUGAGUUAUGUCAUGUUAUCGAUAUGUGAAUACAUAGCAUAUCAGAAGGCACACCCGGAGAACUGAAACAUCUUAGUACCCGGAGGAAGAGAAAGAAAAUUCGAUUCCCUUAGUAGCGGCGAGCGAAACGGGAAGAGCCCAAACCAACAAGCUUGCUUGUUGGGGUUGUAGGACACUCUAUACGGAGUUACAAAGGACGACAUUAGACGAAUCAUCUGGAAAGAUGAAUCAAAGAAGGUAAUAAUCCUGUAGUCGAAAAUGUUGUCUCUCUUGAGUGGAUCCUGAGUACGACGGAGCACGUGAAAUUCCGUCGGAAUCUGGGAGGACCAUCUCCUAAGGCUAAAUACUCUCUAGUGACCGAUAGUGAACCAGUACCGUGAGGGAAAGGUGAAAAGCACCCCGGAAGGGGAGUGAAAUAGAACCUGAAACCGUGUGCUUACAAGUAGUCAGAG